UACGGAGGGAGCAAGCGUUACUCGGAAUUAUUGGGCGUAAAGGGCGCGUAGGCGAUUUGAAAAGCCUUGUGUGAAAGCCCCGAGCUUAACUCGGGAAGUGCACAAGAAACUGUUGAAUUUGAGUUCCGGAGAGGAAGGCAGAAUUCCCGGUGUAGCGGUGAAAUGCGUAGAUAUCGGGAGGAAUACCAGUGGCGAAGGCGGCCUUCUGGACGGAUACUGACGCUGAGGCGCGAAAGCCAGGGGAGCAAGCGG
rnacentral:rRNA from 1 species